GGCUAUACAGGGAAACCUUAUCCCCAAAUAAUAAUAAGGAUUUAUUUAUGUUUUAUGUAUAUGGCUGUUUUGCCUGCAAGUAUGUAUGAGAACCACAUGUGUGCCUGGUGCCCACAGAGUCCAGAAGUGGGUAUCAGAGCUCCUGGAAUGUGUUACAGAUGGAGCCUGGGUCCUCUGUAAGAUCAGCAAGUACUCUUAAGUACUUAGUUAUCUUCUUUGAUAGAAACUGGUUUGCUUUAGGGCUGUGCUCCUCACAAAUGGAGCCUGCUCAGUCUCCACAUUGUCCUCAACAGAAGCCUAUGACUAUGGCGUCUUCCAGAUCAUUCCUGGCACAGACACGCUAGUGGGAUCUCAUCUACAAGAAUCUUGUCUCUACUGCCCAUCAUCACAGCCACUAAGCACUUGAGCUGGCUUAGGCUCUCUGACUCCCUCUCACAGACAUUAGUGGAUGUCUGUUGUGUCUGCUUGGAUUAACCAAACCCCAGGCCUCUCAUUCCCUUGUGACCUCUGUCCUUAGCCAGCCUCUUGGGAUUUCUCUUCUCAUCCUUGAAUUCUCCAUACCCUCUGCCUUGGUUAUUGAUGCUUCCUUCCUUUUGUAUCUGCUCUGGAAACUCAGCCAUCUGCUUUCUCCGUUCCUAUUCCUGACUUGAGUCUUGGAGGAAACUCCAUGUUUCUGUGGUCAGCGCCCCUGUAAUCAGAUCACCUCUAAGUGCACGGAAUCAAUAGACACCCUAUCAGACUGUCGUUUAUAUACCCAGUUUCCCAGCUGGGCAGCUAUUGUCAGGCCCCUGGAGCUUCUUAGCUCUCCUCUGCCCUCUCCCAGCAAACAGUCCUCCCAUUUCUAGCAUCAAUUCUUUACCUGCUGGUUACAAGGAAGAUUCAUCCUUGCUGUCUGCCUUGAGCAAGGCUGUUCCUAAUCUAGAGAUGGCCCAGAAAGUUCAGUCACCAUCAGUAGCUCUGCAUGAUACAAAUACCUCAGCAUGAUCUAACACCCUCAGCCUCCCUCUCCCAGAAGCUGCAAUGUUGGAUGCCUGCUUGCUUUUUGGUUCAGGACCUCUCCUCGGGCAGCCACACCAUAAUACAAAUAUGCCAUGUGUAUAAAUUCUUAAGUAGGAGCUUUUCUUAUUUAGCAGUAAUACCCUUGUAACUGUCCGUACCCAAAAUAGUCCUGUAUAGGUCCAGACUAGAGAUGACAUACCUUUACAGCUAGAGUUAUGGAGAAACUUAAGAGACUUUCUAAAUCAUGUACACAGAGUUUGUAAUAUUGUACUUAAAGUAUGACUUUUUGUAGCUUUUACUGGUGAAGGUUGGAGGAAAACAGGCCCAGUUUGAGCCUUCUGCUGACAGUGACUGAUGGAAUCAAGCACCUUUCUGUACCUCAGAUUCCCCAUCGGGCCAUCUGUAUGACCACACACUUGGAACUAUUCGUGGGAGCCUGGCGGGCUAAGCACUGUGUGCACAACUGAAGACAAGGAUCCUCCUCUCCCUGAACCUAUCACAAGGUUCCCCAAACCUGAGAAGCGGUGGUGUAAAUGUCUGGUUCAGCUCCAAGCAUCCAGCCGUCAUCUACUAUUGGCACCUGGAGAAGCCUGGAGUCUUUAUAGUCACAGGUGUUCACUGCAAAGGAGCCUUCUAUGGAGGCUGAGAAUACAUUUGUCUAGGGCUAUAGACAGAUAUUUAGAAGGCAGUUUUGAUACUGUGUCAAUUCAGCUAAACAACAGAAGUAGGUUCCUAGCUAGAGCCUAUAACUUCCCUAGCCAGGUGUUUUUGACCAGAUUUACAAUACCAGGUGUGAAUUCUCUGGAGCAGGCCUUAAAUCUAAGCAGGGAGUGGUUGGUCACUCCCUUAACAGUUGUGCCAUUAUUGCAGAAUUGAGCUCACCUGGCCUGGCAAGUGAGUAGUGUGGUUCACAGGGUUCAUAGCUGGGUGAAACUGUUAUGUCUCUUCUCUCCCAGCAGCCUGCAUAGCAUCUUUGGCACUAGGAAUCCAGACAGCAGGGAGGAAGUUUCCAGCUCAAUUCCAGGGUGAUUUCUCUAUAUCCUGCAACCAAAGUGUGCCACGUCUUCAGCAACGGAGUCUAUCAUCUAGCUGCGAUAGACACUCGAGAGGAGCAGCAAGAACUGCCUCUGACCAGGAGCACAUACUCGUACCAAGCACUUGGGGUGUUGUUCAGUAACCCGUGGCUUCUAUGAACAACAUUUUCCAGCUAUGCAGGGUAUCUUCCUUCUAGAUGCUUUUAAAAUUUGUAUUUGUUAAUUGGGCUGCAAAAUAGUAGGUUUCCAUACGGCUUUUCCAUAGUACACCCUACACUUUGGUUUACCCUCCACCUCUCACCCCUUUUUUGCAUUCCAUCUCCCAACUGCUCUCCCUGCUUAACUUUUCCUUGAAGUGUUUGUUUGUUUGUUUGUGUUUUGGUUUUUUGUUUUGUUUUUGUUUGUUUGGUUUUUGGGUUUUGUUUUUUCCGAGACAGGGUUUCUCUGUG